rnacentral:rRNA from 1 species
UGGGUAACCUGCCUCAAAGAGGGGAAUAGCCUCCCGAAAGGGAGAUUAAUACCGCAUAAUAUGUUUAGGUCGCAUGACUUUAACAUCAAAGGAUUUUCUUUUAGAGAUUCCACUUUGAGAUGGACCCCGCGGCGCAUUAGCUAGUUGGUGAGGUAACGGCUCACCAAGGCAACGAUGCGUAGCCGACCUGAGAGGGUNAUCGGCCACAUUGGAACUGAGACACGGUCCAGACCUCGUACGGGGAGG